rnacentral:rRNA from 1 species
GUACACUCCUGCGGGAGGCAGCAGUGGGGAAUAUUGGACAAUGGGCGCAAGCCUGAUCCAGCCAUGCCGCGUGAGUGAUGAAGGCCCUAGGGUUGUAAAGCUCUUUCACCGGUGAAGAUAAUGACGGUAACCGGAGAAGAAGCCCCGGCUAACUUCGUGCCAGCAGCCGCGGUAAUACGAAGGGGGCUAGCGUUGUUCGGAUUUACUGGGCGUAAAGCGCACGUAGGCGGACUAUUAAGUCAGGGGUGAAAUCCCGGGGCUCAACCCCGGAACUGCCUUUGAUACUGGUAGUCUUGAGUUCGAGAGAGGUGAGUGGAAUUCCGAGUGUAGAGGUGAAAUUCGUAGAUAUUCGGAGGAACACCAGUGGCGAAGGCGGCUCACUGGCUCGAUACUGACGCUGAGGUGCGAAAGCGUGGGGAGCAAACAGGAUUAGAUACCCCGGUAGUCCCAUGA